AUUAACGCUGGCGGCGUGCAUAACACAUGCAAGUCGAACGAUGAAACUUAACUGAUUUCUUCGGAAUGAUUUUAAGUGGAUUAGUGGCGGACGGGUGGGUAACGCGUGAGUAACCUGCCUUGGAGAAGGGGAUAGCCUUUGGAAACGAAGAAUAAUACCCUAUGAUAUGAUAAUAUCUCAUGAUAUUAUCAUCAAAGAUUUAUCGCUCUAAGAUGGACUUGCGUCUGAUUAGUUAGUUGGUGAGGUAACAGCUCACCAAGGCAGCGAUCAGUAGCCGGCUUGAGAGAGUGUACGGCCACAUUGGGACUGAGACACGGCCCAGACUCCUACGGGAGGCAGCAGUGGGGAAUUUUGCACAAUGGGGGAAACCCUGAUGCAGCGACGCCGCGUGAUUUAGAAGGCCUUCGGGUUGUAAAAAUCUUUUGUAUGGGAAGAAAAUGACAGUACCAUACGAAUAAGGACCGGCUAAUUACGUG
rnacentral:rRNA from 1 species